rnacentral:lncRNA from 1 species
AAGAAGGGGAGAGACUCUUUUGCAGGCUGUGUAAGAGCCAUAUAAAAUCAAGUAACAUGUAGGAGAGAAAAGGGGUCAUGAAGGAGGAGUUUGAGCAAAAAGUAAUGCUAAAAAAGAAAAAAAAAUCCAUUGCAAAUGGUAAUGUAAAUAAGGACACAAUUGCAACAGAAUUUUCCUUGAAUCAACGGAGGACUAUUACUUGAUGAGAUCAUUGUUUUCAGACUGUUUAAGUCAGACAGAGGUACAUGCCCGCUUCACCCUGAGCCCUUCUGCGAAUGGUCAGAAACAGAAUACUGUGUGAUCUCAAAAAGAUUCAGAGCAAACAUGGAAGACAGUUAUGUUUAAAUGACACUCUGGUUGGGCAGGCACUGAACGCAGUAACAGUUUCAACAUAGACACCUUAAACCUUCCAGUAUUCUAUUUUAGGUUUGUUCUUCAUUCUUGCAUCACAGCAGGAGUUGUACCCUUUAUCAGUGUUGAUGUCUUCUUAAAAGAGGGUCUGUGACCGCAUUUGAAGUAUCUCUACUACCAGUUGUGGUGAUUUCACCCUGAUGUGCAGCUAAACUACUACAUCAUUCUCCUGUUACUCCUACUCAAAGGAAGAGGGGGAGAAAAUGAAAUGAAAAAAGGCUCAGGGUUUGAGAUUACCGUCACUGAUCAGUGAUUAUGAGAAUAAAUAAACAUAGUGUGGAAAAAUCUUUGUAUAGUCAUUAAAAUACCCAAGUGUGGCAUUCUAGUAGAGAUUUAAUAAGGAGAAGAAACUGACCCUCAGACUUAGGAAUUCAUUUUCUUUACUUUUCUACAAGGACAGACAUACAUCUCUCUAUCUAAUUUAUAUAUACAUACGUAUAUAUAAAGCAAAGCUUUUAAAGAAUUUUUAUUUAUCAUUGUAAAAUCUCUACUUAGAAUUGGAAAGAGAUAGAAAAAAAAAAAGUAGACUUUGAUUAUCACCUUGAUACAUCUAAGUGUUUACAGUGGGAGCUAAGCUGUAGCAUAGCAAUGUAAUAAAAAUAGAAAGUAAAGUGACGUAAAAAGUGCACUGAGGACUACCUUAUAACUAAUUCCAAACGUUCAAGAAUAGUAAAUGGUUAACAGUGAUGCAAAAGGAAAUUACAGAAAAAACAAUCAAAAAGGACUCCUAAACAAUGAAAGGAAACAAAAAAUUAAUAAAGCAGAAGACUGAAAAACAGAUAAGGAGAGCAAAACGGUGAAAGAUUUCACAGAAGAUUAUGAAAUUAGCACAAAAAAUUUUUAAACAAUCCUAAGAAUAAACUGUCAUUGAAGAACAGAAUAGGGAUUGUGGAGGAUCAUUUUUUAAGGGAUGAGGUAAAAAAAGAUGGAAAAUUUAAACAAAUUCUUCGCAUAGCUGUUCAGAAAGAAAUGUCAGCUCGCAGAGCUGUAGAAAUAUAGGUACAUAUUUUCUGGAGCAAAAGGAAGGAUAAAACACCUAAGUAAACACACACUGUAUGUGACAUAGUACAGAUGACAAUCUUAGCAUGUAUCACAUAAAAUAAUUUCUCAGUGCUAAAGCAUAUGCACUUCAGAAUUCACAGAAAGGGACAAAAAACAGCAUCACUCUUCACAAGACUAAUUUACAUCACUUCACCAUUCAGAUAACUUUUCCUUUUCAAAAUGUUGCUUUGAAGUCACAUGGGCUACUUACAUGACUGACAACUCUAGGACUGCAGUGAAAAAGAAGUUUCAGUGGAAUUAAAGAAAAAGUAACGGGAAGUGUGCAGGAGGUAUCUGUGCAAAGAAGGGCCCCAUGCAACUCCUCUCACAGCUUGCCUCUAAAAACUCAAGAACUGGGUUUAAAUGAGAGAAACACCUUGUCUUUCUGGCAAGUUUUAGCAAUGCCUUCUAUGCAGGAAAGCAAUUUGCUUCAAGACCAAACAGAAAUGCACACUGGUUAAGAGUGAUAUAUUACAAAAACAACAGAGUAUAGCUAAAUUCAGCAAAUUAUGAAGCAAUGGCUAUUUCAGUGAGAGUCAGAGAUUCGUCUAAUGAGAUCCAGGAGUUUCAGCUCUGAACAAAAAGUGAUGAAUUCAAGCUUAAAUUCCUACAAGUAACCCCUAUUCUACAUUAAAGGUAACCAUCCAUCACAUUUUUAACUACAUCUACAAGGGAGUUCAGUAACUUCAGUCUAAAAAAUUCAAAACACAGACAUAUUUUCAGCCAAAACAAAGCCAGAGCCAGCAGUAAUUUUAAUUCUUUUCACUAAGUAUUGUUCUGGCCAUAAGACUAUGUGUAAAAUGGAUGUGGUUGAAGCCACAAUGGACUGUAAGGUUUAUAGGAUGAACAAGUUGCUAAGGAAGAGCUUGCAUGCCUAAAAACUUACAUUAUUCCAGCUGGAGUGCAUCCUGUAACAACAGUACUUCUUUAUUCUUCCAUAUCUUCCCUAAAAAGCUGAGCGCUCUGGCUGAAGACAGGCCAGGAGAGGCGCAUGGAUGUUUGCCUUCUUCAUGUUGCCUGAAAACCUAGUCCUUGUCUCAUCUGGGAACAGGACAGUCAUGCCAAGUGGAUGCAUCUCCCUGCAUCUGUGGAGAGACAGCAAAUGUGCUGUCUGGAAAGUAUCUGUGUUCUAGGAGGUGAGAAACUGGCUUGGGCUGUUUGAUUUCACUUCUACUCAGAGAAAUGGGGCAAUGAACUUUCUAAUAAACAGGUUUGGUUCACAGAGGGAUGACUCCACCAUCGAUCAUUCCACCAGAGGAAUAACUCAAGAUUCGAAAAUUUUAACCAGAUAAUUUUAUCAAAAGAAUAAUAAAAAAAAAAAAAAAAAAAAAAAAAAAAAAAGGACCAAGUAAUGACUUAAAACAAUUGCUGUGAUAUUACAUCUACAUAGGAUCUACUGGCCUAUAUGUCAGUUUUAAUCUGCCACUGGUUAAAUCCUACAUACUGAGCAAAAUAACUUACCAACACAAUACAUGCAAAGUAAAUAAAUACUCAAGCAACACUCUAUGUCCCACAUCCACUCAGAUACCAGAAGUGUGUAUUUCCAGUCUGUGAAAUACAAUGAUAAGUAAAAACAGUGAUUCUCCAUGAGUGCAUUACUCAGAAGAAGCAAUGUUAAGGCAGUCAGUGUGAUCUUUAAAAAUCACUCCCAGUAAAUAAAUAAAUAAGCACCUCUACCUGCACAGCUAUCUGAAGACAAGUUAACAAAUUCUGUUUUCCACUUAUUAGCAAAUCAGUUGUUCUGUAAAGAAUACAUGAUCAAAACCUACAGCAACAGCUGGCACAUGUAUAAAGCGGGGCAAAAAAAUUAAGAUGAAGUAUUUCUGACAAAAAAAUAUAUGAAACAAAACAAAGUUGAAAACUGAAGCAGAUAUCAGAUAACCAUUUUGUCAUUUAUAAAAUACUUUUUCAGGACAAAAGGGGUUGCCAUACCUUUUCACUCAGCAUAUCCUCAGAGUCACAUAUUAAGCUGAUCAAAUCCGAGGGUACUGCAGUAAGCUGAAGCUUGAAGCUGCCUCCACUUCCUUCAUUUCGUUUACAGUUUUGUUUGGGGGUUGUUCUUUUUUUUCUUUUUAGCUUGCAGAAACCUGAGGGAAAAAAUAUUUUGGGGGUUACUAUCGAAAUAGUUUAUUCAGUAGUCAAUUAACUGAAAAAAACAAAUAGUUCUAAACUGAUCUCUUAUAUACCAUGCCCCUUUUUAUAUCAUAGUUAUUGGUUCCAUUCUGUUGUUAUAUUUUACUGAAAACAUUAUGAAUAUAAAUGAGAAUAGUGCACAAAGAGCAGAGGUGAAGAUAUGUCCCAUUAGAAAUCUGCUUUUUUACUUACAUUUACUGAGGUUAUCAAGUACCUCUUUAUGAACUCUUCAUCCCUUUCUAAAAGGUAAAGUUGAAAUUGGGAAAUAUAUUGCAUCAGUUAUUGGGCAUUCUGGGGUUUUCCAUUAUUUUAAAAACCUCCUAUGUGCCUAAUUAUAGCUAAUAAGUACUGUUUAGAAACAUAGCAGAGAACUCAUGAUUUCCUUCUUCACCCAAUGCCCAGAAAAUCCAUGUCCGAGAACAAAAUCUUGAAGGUAUUUGUGAUCAUGACCCAUUCUCAUUAUCUGUAUCCAUUCUAAGAUUUUUAUAUUAUAUGAAUGAAUAUUUUAAAGUGAAAUUAUAGUAUUCAAUGGCAAAUUACAACUACAUGUGACCAAGAGAGGAUUAAACCCAUCAUUUUGCUUAAGAGCUCUGAUGGCUGGAGUAAUUGGAUGAUAGCUGUAGGGCAUCUUUUUGGUCUGUAAUUAGGUCAUUUCUUUCUCAUCCCUUCACUGUGUGUAUAAUUACGAAUUAAUUUGAAAUCCCACUGUGAGUAAAGAAAGUCAGUUUAAUAUAACGGAAGUGCAAAAGCCACAAUAUAUUACUUUUUAAAAACUGCUUAUUUCAAAAUACUCAGUCUGGCCAAAAGUUAUAUCCCUAUGUACUGCAAGGCUUAUAUUUGGUUUCUUUGCUAACUUUGUACAAGUGCUGCUCUGAAAGUAAUGCCUCCUGUUUUAUUAUGUUGGUGUGCAAUGUCAGAGGUGGAUUUUGGUGGUACAUCAGGAGAGGUUGAACCUUCACACCAGUAUUCCACUACAUUUUGUUGCUGUGUGACAGAUGGCAGCAGAGGGUCAGUCUGACAAAAUGGCUUCUGACACGGAAGCAUCUGAGAAGAAAAGAUGUGGAACUGAAUUCCUCCAUGUGGUAAAAAAAUUGCAUCCAUUGACUUUCACUGAUGCUUGCUGAACAUUUAUGGAGAUCAAACAGUGGAUGUGAGCUCAGUGAGGUUGUGGGUAAUGUGUUUCAACAGCAGUGAUAGUGGCAGUGGUUCACCUCCACCGGUGCAAAUUUUUACAAGAACAGCAAGCAGGUUCUCGUUCAUCGUUGGCAAAAAUGCAUAGCUAAUGACAGUGAAUAUGCAGCAAAAUAAAGUUUGUAUUUGAGAAUUUUCUCUAUGAAAUAGUGUUAUUGUGCUCUUUGUAUUUGUUGCAGUUUCUAUGGAAAUAAACAGCAAGUAUUACUUUUGAAUCAAUCUACGUUCCUGGAUGUAUUUUCUCUCUUAAAAUAAAUGAAUUUUCAAAGCACCACACUUUGCUCCAGUAUCUGUCAGUAGGUGUCAACAGCACAAAAAGGUAGUGGAAAGAAAUAAAAAGUAACCAUGAGAGUCUUGACAGACAGUAUUAGCAUCAGAGAACUUAGAGGCCACUCUCAACACAGUCAACCAUUUUAUCCUUUAGUCCUGCCAUUAUUUCCUUCCACUGAAACUACCUUUCUGCUUUUACCCUGAAAGUGUUAAACACUGCACAACCCUAACUAGCAUACCUGCUACUAUGUGCAUCAGGAGCUCACCAUUUCAUCAUCUGGCUGAGAUAUGCUGCUGGCAAGUUCUGCUUCCCUUCCUUUAUCACAACAUUGUGGUCGGAUGCAUCAGACCUCCCUCCCGCCUUAGCAAUGAUACAGGUAAAAACAUGCAUUUCUGACAAAUGGAUAACCCCAAGCAGAUCUGUGGAGACAAUGUUUUGACUUGCUGAACUUCCUGUUUCAUUCUGUUUUCAUCUGUCCCCAGAAACCUUGAAAGGGGUCGGUGAGAGGGUCCCAGGUGUGAUCUGAGCACCAGUGAUGUCAACAGCGAGCCAGGGGCUGUGCAGGGUGUGAAGUUAAAGGGAAGAGCAGAGAAAAGACUGUUGGUGCAGAGAACAAGGGUACUGAGAUUUGACUGUAUUUGUAGCUGUGCUGUAAAAAACUGUAAAACAUCCCAUGCCGUUAGCAUAAGAUUAGAUUUCUGCCAGGAAAAAAAAAAAAAAAAAGAGAGAGAGAGAGAGAACAAAAAGAAAUGGAACUGCUUAGAUAUAAGUUCCAAAGUUCAUUAAGAGGGUUCUUUUCUGCAUAGCUCCAAAGCUAAGAUGUGCUAAGGCAUGUAGAAAAAUAAGGAGGUGUUAAAAACCUACCCAACUUCUUAGCUUUCAAAAAAAGUUCAAAGUCCUAGUCAUCGAUUAUUUACAUGGUGACCUCCAGGCCUAUUUGUGAUGCCAAAAAAAUUGUACUCAGGAAGGAAGGAAGACAUUAUCAAAAAGGAAAGAAUUUCUGUUUAAUCUAAUAAUGCCUUUAUAAAAAUAACCAUUUUCUUUUACAUAUAAUAAAAAAUUCAUUAGAAAAUCUCAACAUAUUUUUAUAUAAAAAUAAUAACUGGCAACAUAGCUAGAAAUAAGAAGCAGAGAAAGAAACUUGGAUGCAUUUCUUGCUUGCAAGAGCAUGAUGAGGAAAUAAGGUAAUCUAGUCUUCCCAUUCUGAACAAAAUAGACAUGAUAACAGAAUAUAUAAAUCAAGACAUUUUUGGAGAAAUAAUGUCACUCCAUAAUUUUUGAAAGUAGAAAUAAUUUAAAAUUCAUGCAUGAAACUAAAUAGGUAAAAUAUGUCAUUUUGAAAUAACAUAACAGUAAAAAUAAUUUGUAAAACUUUUUUUGUUUUUUAACUGAGUCUCAUUUUAUACUUGGAAAAUUUUCUUUAGAAAAUUUUCAACCUCUUCUAUGUAGCUCCUGGGUAAAUAUGGAGGUUUUAUGGAAACCAAACAAAUGAAUUAAAUGACUACAAGAAUUAUUGGCUCUAAAUAUAUACAUUUUCUUCUGAUGCUACUAGAAUGUUACUAGUAUAUACUGUAUGAAUUAUAAAAAAUGUUAUGACAGAUAUGGAAGUAAUAUACUUCGGUGAUAAAUCUUCAAUAGAAAGAAUUUAUUAGAGUCAUAUAGAUCUACU